UACCAUGACAUUGUCAACUGUAUUUAGUA
rnacentral:piRNA from 1 species